UUUCUGAAGAGCCUGAAAUAACUUAUCAUUUAAAGGUAAAAGGAAACAGAAGCUAUCAAGGAAAUGAAGAUUUGGCCAAGGUCUUCCCCUCCUCAACCCAGUGAAAAAUAAGUUGAAGAGCAGAUUAAAGAAGAUUAGUGUCCAGCUAAAGAUAAAAUUACAUCAUGAGAAAUGGUGCCUCAGGAAUAGGCUAGGAAUAGAGAAGAGUCUUUCACCUGAAUAUUGAACUAGCUCAGAAUCAUUCUAAGCAGAUAACUGACC
ensembl:lncRNA